rnacentral:tRNA from 2 species
AGUUAAUGAGCUUGAUAUAAGCUUAUAUUUUGAAAAUAUACUAAAGAAACUAAAACUUUCUAUUAACUU